rnacentral:lncRNA from 1 species
UCAGAAAGAUCAAAGUUACAGGUGAAUGCCCAUGAUUUAAAUGGAAAUCUGAGGGAAUGAAGCAAGGACCUGUUGGAGCACCCAUGGGAAGAACCUGGGGCACAAAAGAGGAAAGCAGCAAGAGACUGACAGAGAUUGUCUCCCUAGAAACCUGGACCACGAAAAGGAGGUGGAGAGGAGAAAACUCUGUGCUAAAUAUUACUCCUGGAAAAGUGCAUUUGCUUCGGAGAAAUCUUUAUCAUGGGUCUCUAAGAGGAAGGAACAAUAGCAUCUUCUAUGUGCCGAGGUAGCGCAAUAAUGAACUCUGUUCAAGUGGAUCAAAAGCCAUCAAGGUCAAAAUUAGGCACAGGGCUGUACAGGAAGCGUGAUUCUGGCAUCUGUUUGGUUUCUGGGAAGGCCUCAGGAAACUUAAAGUCAUGGAAGAAGGGGAAGGGAGAGCAGGCACGUCUUACAUGACCAAAGCAGGAAGAAGAGAGAGAAGUGUGGAGGUGCUAUACACUUUUAAACAGCCAGAUCUUGUGAGAACUCUGUCAGAAGAACAGCACUAGGGAAAUGGUGCUAAACCAUUCUUGGGGACUCCAUCCCUGUGAUACAAUCACCUCCCACCAGGCCCCACCUCCAACACUGAGAAUUACAACUCAACAUGAGAUUUGGAUGGGGACACAGAUCCAAACCAUAUCAAAUUUUCACACCUUUCAGUAAAGCUUUAUAUUUUUUAAGGAUAUUUAAGUACUUGGAAGUAGAAGUAGAGAGUAAGGGGAAUAUUGUACAGCCAUCACAGCCUUUGUCUACUAAAGAAGUCAGUUUCAUGUGACAAAUGUUCAUUUUAAUAU